rnacentral:misc_RNA from 1 species
GAUGAAGAACGUAUCGAAAUGCGAUACGUAAUGUGAAUUGCAGAAUUCAGUGAAUCAUCGAAUCUUUGAACGCAUAUUGCGCUCUCUGGUAUUCCGGAGAGCAUGCUUGUUUGAGUAUCAGUAAACACCUCAACUUCCAUAUCUUUUUUGAAAUGGGAGUUGGACUUGAGUGAUCCCAACGCUUUUCCUCACCGAAAAGUGGCGGGUUACUUGAAAUGCAGGUGCAGCUGGACUUUUCUCUGAGCUAUAAGCAUAUCUAUUUAGUCUGCCUAAAAAACAGAUUAUUACCUUUGCUGCAGCUAACAUAAAGGAGAUUAGUUCUUGUGCUGACUGAUGCAGGAUUCACAAAGACGGCUUCGGCCGACUUUGUAAACUCGAUCUCAAAUCAAGUAAGACUACCCGCUGAACUUAAGCAUAUCAAUAAGCGGAGGA